UUCAUAGGAUAGACAAUAGCAAUAUCAUCACAGAUGUUUCUUCAUGGGGAGAGACAGCCGUGUUCACCUACAAGUAAAAUAUGAAAAAGAAAAAAAGGGCAUCCAAAUCAUCAAGGAGUAAAUUGCUUUCAAUUAUAGAGCAACAGAUUCAUGCAUAAGCUCAUUUUAUCAUUUUCUACAGAACUAUGAGGAGAGCAAAGUGAAUAGUGUGAUUUGCUUAGAGGACAAUGCUGCUACAAAAACCUGUUCCACUCCAAGGCCAACUGCAGUUUUGAGCCAUAUCCAAAGAGGGAAAAGCAGAGACUGAUUUAAACUGGCCUGUGUACUAUCCCAAACUCACCAAUCAAAUAAGUCAUUUCCUCCCCCAGGAGAGGGGAACCAAGGAUGUCCUUCCGCAUGAAAAUGUCAGAACGAGAAAGAGAAGAAAAGGAAAUUGUUGAAGAAUCUAGGAGUGUUUGAAAGAGGAAGAGACUGCAUUGUGCUCCCCAGAUCAAUGGUUGAUAAGCUGAAGUUGUCCUCACACCAUUAAGAGACACAGUGGUAAAUCACAUGAUAGGUGUCACAGGAAGUUAAACUGUAUAAACAGAGAGACCAGUGCCUACUUUUUUUUUUUUUUUUGAGACGGAGUCUCGCUCUGUCGCCCAGGCUAGAGUGCAGUGGCGCGAUCUCUGCUCACUGCAAGCUCCGCCUGCCGGGUUCACGCCACUCUCCUGCCUCAGCCUCCGGAGUAGCUGGGACUACAGGCACCGGCCACCACGCCCGGCUAAUUUUUUGUAUUUUUAGUAGCGACGGGGUUUCACCGUGGUCUCCAUCUCCUGACCUCGUGAUCCGCCCGCCUCGGCCUCCCAAAGUGCUGGUAUUACAGGUGUCAGCCACCGCGCCUGACCAACAGUAAAAAAGGAUGAGGUGAACUGCCUUGGUCAGACUCUGAGAAAUACUCACAGUUCCUCCUUCCUCCUGGCCAAGUCCUUGAAGAAUCAAAGCAGCAAAUAAACAAGGUGGAACAAGAGUGAAAAUGAGAAUGCAUUUAUCUUCUCCACUGAACGACCCCAAGUCCUGUGUCAGGGCUGAGAUGUUUGAGUUGCUCCCAGUUUUAUGCUACCAUGAAUGAGUUAACACUGAUUGUAGCUGAGACAUCUGCUGCUGUGUUGCUCCUUCAAAGGUAAUCACCAACAUUGAAACACUUGUUUAAAAACUCUUCGAAUCUUGAAAAUAAGUUCAAAGACCUCUAACAGAAUUGGACCCUGACUGAAACACAACUAAAUUGUCUACCAAUUUUACAAGUGAAUAGACAAAUACAUAAUG
rnacentral:lncRNA from 10 species